rnacentral:rRNA from 1 species
UACGAAGGGUGCAAGCGUUAAUCGGAAUUACUGGGCGUAAAGCGCGCGUAGGCGGUUUUGCAAGUCGGGUGUGAAAUCCCCAGGCUUAACCUGGGAACUGCAUUCGAGACUGCAUUACUAGAGUAUGGGAGAGGGAAGUGGAAUUUCCGGUGUAGCGGUGAAAUGCGUAGAUAUCGGAAGGAACAUCAGUGGCGAAAGCGACUUCCUGGACCAAUACUGACGCUCAUGUGCGAAAGCGUGGGGAGCAAACAGG